rnacentral:rRNA from 1 species
ACAGGCGGUGCAUGGUUGUCGUCAGCUCGUGUCGUGAGAUGUUGGUUAAGUCCCGCAACGAGCGCAACCCCUAUUGCUAGUUACCAUCAUUAAGUUGGGGACUCUAGCGAGACUGCCAGUGAUAAACUGGAGGAAGGUGGGGAUGACGUCAAAUCAUCAUGCCCCUUAUGACCUGGGCUACAAACGUGAUACAAUGGCUGGAACAAAGGGAUGCGAAGCAGUGAUGUGGAGCGAAACCCAUAAAAACAGUCUCAGUUCGGAUUGAAGUCUGCAACUCGACUUCAUGAAGUCGGAAUCGCUAGUAAUCGCGGAUCAGGACGCCGCGGUGAAUACGUUCUCGGGGUUU